rnacentral:rRNA from 1 species
CGGAUCGGAGUCUGNAACCCGACUCCGUGAAGCUGGAUUCGCUAGUAAUCGCGCAUCAGCCAUGGCGCGGUGAAUACGUUCCCGGGCCUUGUACACACCGCCCGUCAAGCCAUGGGAGCCGGGGGUGCUUGAAGUGCGUCGCCGCAAGGCGCGCCCUAGAGCAAAACCGGUGACUGGGGCUAAGUCGUAACAAGGUAGC